GUCGAGCGGAAGGCCCUUCGGGGUACUCGAGCGGCGAACGGGUGAGUAACACGUGAGCAACCUGCCCUAGGCUUUGGGAUAACCCCGGGAAACCGGGGCUAAUACCGAAUAGGACCUCUGACCGCAUGGUUGGUGGUGGAAAGUUUUUCGGCCUGGGAUGGGCUCGCGGCCUAUCAGCUUGUUGGUGGGGUGAUGGCCUACCAAGGCGACGACGGGUAGCCGGCCUGAGAGGGCGACCGGCCACACUGGGACUGAGACACGGCCCAGACUCCUACGGGAGGCAGCAGUGGGGAAUAUUGCACAAUGGGCGGAAGCCUGAUGCAGCGACGCCGCGUGAGGGAUGACGGCCUUCGGGUUGUAAACCUCUUUCAGCAGGGACGAAGCGUAAGUGACGGUACCUGCAGAAGAAGCGCCGGCCAACUACGUGCCAGCAGCCGCGGUAAGACGUAGGGCGCGAGCGUUGUCCGGAUUUAUUGGGCGUAAAGAGCUCGUAGGCGGCUUGUCGCGUCGACUGUGAAAACCCGCAGCUCAACUGCGGGCCUGCAGUCGAUACGGGCAGGCUAGAGUUCGGUAGGGGAGACUGGAAUUCCUGGUGUAGCGGUGAAAUGCGCAGAUAUCAGAGGAACACCGGUGGCGAAGGCGGGUCUCUGGGCCGAUACUGA
rnacentral:rRNA from 1 species